rnacentral:rRNA from 1 species
UGCUGGCGACGUGGAUAAGGCAUGCAAGUCAAACGGGUUGUAGCAAUACAACCAGUGGCGAACGAGUUAGUAAUACGCAGAUAACCAACCCCAAAAUUGGGCAUAAUUCAUCGAAAGGUGAACUAAUUCCCAAUAGUCCCAAAGCAGUAAUGUUUUGGGUAAAGGAGCAAUCCGUUUUGGGAUGGGUCUGCGGCCUAUCAGCUUGUUGGUGAGGUAAUGGCUCACCAAGGCGAUGACGGGUAGGGGGCGUGAGAGCGUGUUCCCCAACGAUGGCACUGAGACACGGGCCAUACUCCUACGGGAGGCUGCAGUCGAGAAUCUUCCACAAUGGGCGAAAGCCUGAUGGAGCGACGUCGCGUGCGGGAAGAAGACCUUAGGGUUGUAAACCGCUUUUAUAGGGGAUGAAGUUAUUGACAGUACCCUAUGAAUAAGAAGGGGCUAAUCACGUGCCAGCAGCAGCGGUAAUACGUGACCUUCGAGCGUUAUCCGGAUUCACUGGGCGUAAAGAGUCUUAAGGCGGUUCGGAAAGUCUUUGAUAAAAUCUUAGAGCUCAACUUUAAGUACAUUGGAGAUACUUCCAAACUUGAGGGUGCUAGAAGUAAGCGGAACGUACGGUGUAGGGGUGAAAUCCGUUGAUAUCGUACGGAACACCAAAAGCGAAGGCAGCUUACUAGGGCAACUCUGACGCUGAUUGACGAAAGCGUGGGCAUGGAAAAGGAUUAGAUACCCUUGUACUCCACGCUGUAAACGAUGGAUACUGGUUGGUGGAAGUAUCGACCCUUCCGCUGGCGAAGCUAACGCGUUAAGUAUCCCGCCUGGGAAGUACACUGGCAACAGUGAAACUCAAAGGAAUAGACGGGGGUCUACACAAGCGGUGGAUCACGUGGCUUAAUUCGACGAUAAGCGAGAACCUUACCAAGGCUUGACAUGGUAGUAGAAAGCUUGAGGAAACUUGAGCCCUCGCAAGACUGCUAUCACAGGUGCUGCAUGGUUGUCGUCAGCAGGUGCCGUGAGGUGCUCCAUUAAAUUGGGAAAUCUGCGCAACCCUUACCCUAUGUUUUAUUUGUCAUAGGGGACUGCCGCAGUUAAUGUGGAGGAAGACGAGGAUGACGCCAAAUCAGCAUGGCCUUUAUGCCAUGGGCCGCACACGUGAUACGAUGGCCGGUACAAUGGGCUGCGAAACCGCAAGGUGUAGCCAAUCCCAUCAAAACCGGUCUCAGUUCGGAUUGAGGUCUGCAACUCGACCUCAUGAAGUUGGAAUCGCUAGUAAUCGCCGAUCAGCUAUGCGGCGAUGAAUAUGUCACUGGACCUUGUACUCACCGCCCGUCACAUCAGGAAAGUUGGGAACGCCCAAAGCGCCAUUUUUAUGGUUCUACGGCGGGUUCAAUGAUCAGGGUGAAGUCGUAACAAGGCA